CCCCUCUCAGGAUCACACCUGGAGAGUUUCCAGUAUUCUACCAGUUUCAGCUAUGGAUGGGAGAGUCAAGCAGAAGCAUACCCAUUCCCUUCCUAGCUUGGGCAGUGCUUAGCGAGGGGAAGGCAAUCUGCUACAACU